rnacentral:rRNA from 1 species
CCUACGGGGGGCAGCAGUGGGGAAUAUUGGACAAUGGGGGCAACCCUGAUCCAGCCAUGCCGCGUGUGUGAAGAAGGCCCUCGGGUUGUAAAGCACUUUCAGUGAGGAAGAACGCCUGGUGGUUAAUACCCAUCAGGAAAGACAUCACUCACAGAAGAAGCACCGGCUAACUCCGUGCCAGCAGCCGCGGUAAUACGGAGGGUGCGAGCGUUAAUCGGAAUUACUGGGCGUAAAGCGCGCGUAGGUGGCUUGAUCAGCCGGUUGUGAAAGCCCCGGGCUCAACCUGGGAACGGCAUCCGGAACUGUCAAGCUAGAGUGCAGGAGAGGAAGGUAGAAUUCCCGGUGUAGCGGUGAAAUGCGUAGAGAUCGGGAGGAAUACCAGUGGCGAAGGCGGCCUUCUGGACUGACACUGACACUGAGGUGCGAAAGCGUGGGUAGCAAACAGGAUUAGAUACCCUAGUAGUC